rnacentral:rRNA from 1 species
UGGAGCUUUACUGCAGCUUGUUGCUGCGAUGCGGUCUUCUUUGCAGAGUGUAGCUGGGAGACUUCGAAGCGCUGCCUUCGGGUGGCGUGGAGUCAACAAUGUAACACCAGCCUUAGUGGACUGCGUCGCUAACUCCUAAGGGAGGACAACGGCAGGUGGGCAGUUCGGCUGGGGCGGCACCCCCUUGAAAAGAUAUCGAGGGGGCCCUAAGGUCGGCUCAUCUGGGUCAGAACUCCAGAGUUGACGGCAAGGCGAAAAGCCGGCCUGACAGGAAGUUUAAACGCAGAACUUUCUGCAACGAAAGUUUGGCCUAGCGAUCCUCCAAGUCCUCACUGUUGGGGGCUGGAGGUGACAGAAAAGUUACCCCAGGGGUAACAGGCUCGUCGCGGGCGAGAGCUCCAAUCGACCCCGCGGUUUGGUACCUCGGCCCAUCAGGGCCUUGGGGCAGAAUCGUGGUAACGCGAUUGAAGUUUUCCGAAUAAAACGAGUAUCGGCUUAUAUCGGCGAAACCCGACCUCCUUGAACCAGGAGCCGCGGCAACGCGGUUAGUUGGGAAGAGCGGGAGAGGGCAACGCCGAGGGAAGUCCAACGGGAUUUCAGCACCCGGUCAGGUGGAAGAUCAUCCUUCAGUGACGCCGUGAACGGCGUUCCAGCAGCAGCAUUCGUCGAGCUUGCAGUUUGGGCAGUCGACCGCGGAGGGCGCCUCUCGGCACUCUUCCGGAGAACAGCCGCAGUCUGCACAGCGGACGACAAGCUUCGCCGCCAUCGAAGGCGACGAUACAGCCCUGUCUAAUACGAGUUCUUUCAUCUGAUUGGAAAGGUAGGUUCGGUCAGGCAUCACCGCGGAUGGCAGCGCUAGUAGCUUCGUCCUCUGAAGGCUACGAACAGGACGAUGAACAAGAGGCUCACGACAUACAGAGUCCAGUACAGCACCUCUCCUGCCGCGCCCAGCCCCGGGAAAGAACUCCCUGGGGUCAAGACGUCGGCAAAGAAGAAGACCAGUGCCAGCACCAAGAACACAGGUGACAGCCUCCGUCUGUCCAUCGACAGCCGCGCCCACGAGGGCGUUAUCAAGUUGGCGAAGCGAAAGGCGCAAGAAGCGCUACGGUUUCGUCGAGACUCUACGCAGUGCCUCGAGCAAGAGCAACGCCGCGGUCAACGCCGGGACUACCAGCAAGACGACAGGGUCGUGCUCAAGCAGCAACAGCACAAGCCUGAUGGCGAUGAUGAAGAGGCCGCUCCCCAGACCAAACUGGCGGAAGGUCCUUCCCGAAGCCAUCACCAAUCAACGACCGCAGGGGCAUAGUGAGGUUGACGAAAGCCAAAGCGCAGCCAAGGGCAAGCGCCAAGUUCAGGUAGGAAGUGGAGGUGUCAAAAUGGUGAGCAACAGAAGAAGCAAAAACGCGGCCACAACGACCGCGAUGAGCGAAGCUGUCUGCCGCCUCGACAUACUCCUUCGUCGCGCAAGCGUCCCAAAAAAUCUGAGCAUGGCGCAGCCUAACAUCCCGGAUGCCACCGAAAAUGUCCAACGCAAGUUGGGCGGAGGUCCGGCCGUUCCGUUGUGACCCCGUAACGACUGAGCGCGCAGAAGUGUGCGUAAUGAGAUGGCCGUCGCGGCUAGCUCGACCAUUCCCGCAAGGGAGCACAUCAUGUUCCGACAUGGUGCGACAGCCCGCAAGGGCGUCGGGUGUGCCACACAAGCGAGGCCAUCAUACGCCGACCCCACGAGUGCUCGUGGGUGAAGACAUAGUCUAACUCCGGGCGUAAGCCUGGGUAAAGUUGCGAUGUCGGCUCUUCCCAUCCUGGUCCUGCAGCAGGGGCCAAGGGUGGGGCUGCUCGCCCAUCAAAGGGGAACGUGAGCUGGGUUUAGACCGUCGUGAGACAGGUCGGCCUCUACCUGAUGGAAGCGGUGGUUCACUGAGGGGAAGCCCUGCCCAGUACGAGAGGAACAGCGGGGCGUUGCCUCUGGCGUACCGGUCGUCCGAGAGGGCGUCGCCGGGCAGCUAAGCAAUCGUGGAUAACCGCUGAAAGCAUCUAAGCGGGAAGCCACUCCCGAGAAGAGUUGGCCUUAGGCCUUAACCUCCGGCGCAAGCUGGAGGAGCGGGCCUUGGAGCGCAGCGAUAGAAGAUCGCGUUGAAGGACCAGCGGUGUACGCAAGAAGCUUCGGCGACUUGUUCAGCCGGUCUGGCACCUAUAGCGCAACGCAGGAUGAGU